GAUUCCGUAGCUCAGUUGGUAGAGCAAUACACUUUUAAUGUAUGGGCCCUGGGUCCGAGUCCCAGCGGGAUCA
rnacentral:tRNA from 1 species